rnacentral:sRNA from 1 species
AACUAAUCUCAUGCUUCUCUACCCCCACAUUCUCAGAUCCUUCACCCGAAAGAUCUCACGUGCAAAACGAAAAAGCUCCGUCCAAUUCCAGAAAUCCUAACUUCACUGCAGCAAUGUAAAACAAAUGCAAACAUCUAAUUUCGCAAUCGGUUCCUAUCCUUUCUACUGCUAGCGCCACUGUCAAUUGUAAAGCUAACCAAACUAUAUAGAACCAGCAAAACGAUGGGAACCUGCUGCGGAUAGGUAUUCCGCUUCCCGUUGCCACCGUCUUUGGCCAUGCUCCUUCAGGCCUUGAUAUUGUAUUUCUUCUUCUUCCGUCGCCGGCGCUCUCUCUCCCGCACUUUUACAUUGGCGGUGGCGAAGGAUGAGAAAUUGGCUAUCGGCGUUCACUUUUACAACGCCGUUCCGAUAUGCUAACGUUUCCGCGGACAUCAUGAAGUAUCAGCUGACUCAGUUUCAGAAAGGGAAACAACGGUUAAAGUAAUUUACACUUUGACACACGGUGGGCCCAACUAUUGUUAAUAUCAUAAAGGAUAAAUUUGUCAUUUGCAUGGUUGAGUACUGCUGAAUGAAACUGUGUUUCGGUGCAUCAGGUCCUCUCUCUAAUUUCAAUUUUUCAAAGGUUCUCUCUCAUUUUGUAAGAACUCUUCAUGCUAGGGUUAGGAUUGAGAGAAAAUGCGAGAAAAAAUAAAAAAUGAAGAACUCCAUGACUGCCACUUAAUCGAAGAUUAGACGUGAUAGGAAGAGUUCAAACCAGCAAAGUCAAAGUAGAUGAUCGAAACAUUAGAGGGAGCAAGGGCAUGAGAUAGAGAGUUGCGCUAGGGAGAACACCAAAUGCACAAUCAGUGACGAGCGAGAUCGAUGGUGAGUGAGAGAGACUAAGAGAACGAGUUUGGUAGUAAGAGAGUCAACACAGAAGCAUAAGAGUGAAAGUUUUCCAUUUUGUGAUUGCUAUGACGUGGGAAGCUUUUAUGGUAAUUCUAUGUCUUUUUAUUCUGAUUUAGAAUAAAUUUGUGUCUUACUAAUUUUCGUGUUUCCAUCAUGUUUGAUGAUAUGAAUUGUUUUAUUCGAAAUUAAUUAUUCCCCAACUGGUUGUUAAUUGCAAAAUUCAAUAUAGAAAAUAACAGUUUUGUGUGAUUGAUUAUUCUUACGGAGUUAAACCACACAUCAUAAGCACACCAUUUUUUCUUGAAUGAAGCUACUCUAACAACCAACAACAAUGUCAUCAUACGACUUCUUCAGCUGCAUCUAUAGAAAGAGAAGCAUUAGCAACUUUAUUUUAAAAACCUUAAGUCCAAAUUAUGUUGAGUAAGAUUUAAAAAAUGAGAGAGACAUAGAGUGUUUCAUUUUCUGUGUUCUGAAGAAAUAAAAUAAACAAAUCACGGGAGAAAACAGAACAACAAACAAAUUGGCCUAGUGAUAUCAUGUAUAGUAUGUUUAAAAAAUACAUUCAAUAUUCAUAGACUGAGCAAUAAAUUCUGCCGAAGUAAGAGGAAUCAAUCUCAUUUCAUGCACAGAUUUUUAUAUUUUCAUAUUCAUCACAUUUUUAAGAUUUCGAAAGUAAUAAUCGAUUUUCAUUAUAUUAGCAAAAUUAUUAGUAUAUUAUCCCUAAACUUUUAAAUACCGAAGUAGGCUCAAG